rnacentral:rRNA from 1 species
UACGAAGGGGGCUAGCGUUGUUCGGAAUUACUGGGCGUAAAGCGUGCGCAGGCGGCUUCUCAAGUCAGGGGUGAAAGCCCAGAGCUCAACUCUGGAAUUGCCUUUGAGACUGAGUGGCUUGAGUACGGGAGAGGUGAGUGGAAUUCCUGGUGUAGCGGUGGAAUGCGCAGAUAUCAGGAGGAACACCAAUAGCGAAGGCAGCUCGCUGGGACGUUACUGACACUGAGGCGCGAAAGCGUGGGGAGCGAACAGG